rnacentral:rRNA from 1 species
AGAGUUUGAUCCUGGCUCAGAACGAACGCUGGCGGCGCGUCUUAAGCAUGCAAGUCGAACGGCAAGAGAGGAGCUUGCUUCUCUCCUAGAGUGGCGGACUGGUGAGGAACACGUGGGUAAUCUACCCUUAAGAUGGGGAUAGCUGCUAGAAAUAGCAGGUAAUACCGAAUACACUCGGCAUAUCACAAGAGGUGUUGAGGAAAGGAAGCUACGGCUUCGCUUGAGGAUGAGCUUGCGUCCCAUUAGCUAGUUGGUGAGGUAAAGGCCCACCAAGGCGACGAUGGGUAUCCGGCCUGAGAGGGUGAACGGACACAUUGGGACUGAGAUACGGCCCAAACUCCUACGGGAGGCAGCAGCUAAGAAUAUUCCGCAAUGGACGGAAGUCUGACGGAGCGACGCCGCGUGGAUGAAGAAGGCUGAAAAGUUGUAAAAUCCUUUUGUUGAUGAAGAAUAAGGAUAAGAGGGAAUGCUUAUCUGAUGACGGUAAUCAGCGAAUAAGCCCCGGCUAAUUACGUGCCAGCAGCCGCGGUAACACGUAAGGGGCGAGCGUUGUUCGGAAUUAUUGGGCGUAAAGGGCAUGUAGGCGGUUAUGUAAGCCUGAUGUGAAAUCCUGGGGCUUAACCCUAGAAUAGCAUUGGGUACUGUAUAGCUUGAAUUACGGAAGGGAAACUGGAAUUCCAAGUGUAGGGGUGGAAUCUGUAGAUAUUUGGAAGAACACCGGUGGCGAAGGCGGGUUUCUGGCCGAUAAUUGACGCUGAGAUGCGAAAGUGUGGGGAUCGAACAGGAUUAGAUACCCUGGUAGUCCACACCGUAAACGAUGUACACUAGGUGUUGGGGCAAGAGCUUCAGUGCCAAAGCAAACGCGAUAAGUGUACCGCCUGGGGAGUAUGCCCGCAAGGGUGAAACUCA